GGGCAGUGUAUUUCUUCUCCCCAAUUUUGGAGUCUUUUAGAAUUGGGAUUAAAGAGUUUUUACGGCUAGAGAGAGAGAAGCAGAAGCGGAAGGAGAAGAGAAUAUAGGAAGAAGGAUGAUACACAGGAAAUGGAGUUUGCUGACAGGCCCCGCAGCUAUUCUCGGCGGUAUCGUCGGUGCUAUCGUCGUCGCCAAUUUUAUCUUCGUCCAAAAUGACCCGUUCCUUAAGCCAGAGCGGAAGCAGGAGAAAGCACCUUCAAACAAGUGAGCAAUGUGUGUUUUUCUCUGGGGGUUUUCUGUUGGUUUGAUUUGUCAUACAUUACGGCCCAAUAAACUCAAAUUUUGAGCAUCAGCUUGAAUGUAGGUCUCUUUUGUUGGCUUUCUUUCUGUACUCUUUCUCUUCACAGAAUAUGAAAGUAUGCUCCAAACAAGAGUCUUAGGUUGGGAACUGGUCAUCUCCUGUUUCGUGAUGCUUUAUUCAGGUUAUGAAUAGAAUAAAAUGUGGAGAUGCGACAAAUUUGAUAUUGUGCAGAAAGUAAGACGGGUGCUGUUGCAUUAUAGGUUGGCAAAAGACGAGCUUGUUUAUUAUCAAAUUUACCUUUAUCGUAAUACUUAUUUUUUAUU